rnacentral:piRNA from 1 species
UACCGGAUGCAUGGGUCAGAGCCAC